AAAGGGUGCUGAGGGCGAGCCCUCUGCGGGCGCGGGUCUCUGGUCCUGCUAGGAAGUGGCACUGGGCACCGGAGUGGCACAUGAGCCCUGUCCACAGUGUCUCAGUAUAGCCGUGACCCUUCCUCCAGAGGAGAAGGAGAACAAUGGGGGAAAGAUCGUGGCAGGGUGACCUCUCCUUUCCUGACCUGGAGGCAGUGACACUCACUGGCCCAAGCGGAGCUGGCGUGGAGGGUGGGGCUUGGCCUGAGAAGACCUUUGCCUUGAUCUGGGAACUCUGGCUCAAGUGAGGUGGUGAGAAGGAAACUACACUGCUUCUCUUCAUGAUUCUGAGGCUGACUUCGGAUCCCCCUGAAACCCUGGCUCUGGGGGAGGGUCUCCACACUUGGGUUGUGUGGAGAUGGGAUAGUAAGGAAGACAGGAGCAGAGAUCAUGAGGAACUGGGCUUCCAAGGGCAUGCCGUCCUAAUAGACUAACUCGCAGACUCUGAUAGCCUGCCCCGGGGAAUGUGGGGCACUGGGGAGCGUGCCAAGUCUGGACACGUGCUGUGCUUUAGCAAGCUCUGCUCCUAGAUUGCUGGGUGACCCUGGGAGGAGGAAUUACUUUUCAUCUCUGCAAAGCCUUGAUAGCUGUGGCCAGCACUGGUUCCAAGAGAGGAGAGGAGGGCUGGGAGAAAGGAAGCCAGAAAUGAGUAAUUUGAGAGUUCCUGAGUCUGGGUAGUGGAUCAUGGGUCACUUUGAGGGAGUAUGGAGCAGGGCACACUGGCUGUCCACGCCUUCCAACUUUCCUCCCUCUUCCUUCAACCAACUCAGUUCCUCAUAGCUCCCCAAGGGGCUUUCUGCCUGAGCCGAGCAUAUCUGCUAUGUGCUGCAUGUGAUUUGAGCAAUUUAUGGCCCCUGUGAUUUUGGUCUUGCCAUUGGAUACACUGAGAAAGCUCUUAGUCCCUCCCCUUUACCAGUAUCCUUCCGUUCUGUGCUUCAAACCCGCUCUCAAACUGUAAACACCACUUACUGAUUUUUUUAAAUCUUAGCAUCACCUAUGAAAAAGCCCAGAAGACUUAAGUUAGGGAACAGAAUGUAAAUGCUACAAACCUUGGAAGUCACACUUGACAGUAGCUAAGAGGUAAGGGACAGGAAGCGGAUAUUCUUACCUUAUAAAUUGAGGUGUCAAGAGAUCCUGUGUAUCGAUGAUGGAACAUGAAAUGAAGGGGUAUGCCAUUUAAAGUUACAAAGCAACCAGUGUAUGUACAAAAAUAACAAAACUAUAUUGGAAGAA